UCGGCUCCUGAGUUCUCAUCCGGAGCUGCGCUCUCCCGUCUCUUUACUGGGAGCGUUCUCCUGCCGGGGCUUGGACAUUUCCAAGGGAAGUGAAAAUCCACAAAGCUGCCCCCACUUCGUAAGGGCCUGUGCCUGGAGGGUCGUCGGGUUACAGAAAUUGAAAUCAGCUCUUUGCCUUCCAACUCUUCUUGGCCUUGCCACCGCGAUUGGUUUUGUUUUCUUUGUUUUUAACGAAUUGACAGCUCUGUCGCCCGGGAUGGAGUGCAGUGGGGCGAUCUUGGCUCACUGCAACCUCUGCCUCCUGGGUUCAAGCGAUCCUCCCGCCUCGGCCUCCUAAAGUGCUGGGAUUACAGGUGUGAGCCACCGAGCCGGCCUAACACCACUGUGAUAGAGCCCUUCUGCUGCGCCUAACAAGAAAAAGGUGUGAGGAAUCAGGUAGAGGAUGGUAGCUCGGAAGAAACAGAGCCUGACCUCACCUGGCCAGAUAUCCAAUCUUCAUUGCCCCAAACCACUGGACCCUUGAAGAAUGUCUGAUACGGAAGCCUUACCUGACUGUGCAAGGGCAUCAAUAAAGGCAAAAAAGUGCUUCUCUAAAUCUUCCAAAUCAGAGAAUGGCCGCUGGGACCAAACAGCAGCUGCAAUCAGAGGACAUCUCUCAGUGGCAUUCCCAAACACAUCCACGAAUUCUCCAAGGUCCAUGGAGUUGACCUUCUCAAUGUCCAUUCCUUGUAUUCCACUGGAGACAGCGGGACGUCCAGCUCCCCUCUCGGUGAGUGAGUGACGCUGUCUCGGCUCACUCGGUUAUAUCUGCUGAACACAAGAGCUUGCUGUUUACGCAACACCACCUUCGCGUGUUUUAAAUGCCUUUGGGAGAAGCAGAUCCAGAAUACUUGUGUAAUGAACAAGCACAGGCUUAAGGUUCUAAUCCAGGGAGCAGAGAUCUCUGCAUGGUCAAUGUUUCCAACCAAACCAUUCCCAUAAUCAAAGGCAGCAGGGGCCAUAUUUCACUCUAAGCAUUAGAGCCAGAUUUGUUUUUCAUGUUGUUAGGCUUUUUUUUUUUUUUUUUUUUUUUUGGUGUCUAGCUCUGUCACCCAGGCUGGAGCACAGUGGUGCAAUCUCAGCUCACUACAACCUCCACCCCCUGGGUUCCAGCGAUUUGCCUAUCUCAGCCUCCUGAGUAGCUGGGAUUACAGGCAUUUGCCACCACAUCCAGCUAAGUUUAUGUUUUUGGUUUUGUUUGUUUGUUUGUUUGUUUGUUUUAGUAGAAACAGGGUUUCACCAUGUUGGCCAGGCUGGUCUCGAACUCCUGACCUCAAGUAAUCCACCUGCCUCGGCCUCGCAAAGUGCUGGAAUUACAGGUAAUUAUUAUAUUGUUAUUAUUUGAGAUAGGUUCUGCCUAGGUUGUCCAAGCUGGAGUGCAGUGGCUAUUCAUAGGCACAA
rnacentral:lncRNA from 10 species